CAUUAUCACGCUGAUACGACGUACUUCCGCAUUCAUGAUUUUUGUGCACUGCCACUUCCGGUGAAUCAUUCAUCUCUCUGGCGUACCCGUGAUGGAUGAGCCCAAGUUUACUUAUACUGCAUCCCUGGUAAAUUUACCUAAAAUAACUUUUUAUGACGUACCAUCGACUAACUGAACAACACUGCAUCACAGCCCGCUCCAAAGUGGACAAGGGAUACAGUUUCUUUUUCGAGAACUUUAUCUACGACUAUGAAGUGUCCAACAUCAUUGACAGGGUGGUGGCUGUCAGGUCUAGGUGUAUGUAGAGCCGGUUCAGGACUUGGUUGUUAGGAAACCAAAGCCAUCCGCCAGGAGUGUAUGCAAAUCAACACUAUCAAGCAUACACAGGAUCCCUCCCUGACCCGCAAGUCUUGUCUCUUGGAAAAGGACUGAAAAGCCUCAGGCCGCAACCACUAAUAUCAUUAGUGCUGCAUGGCUUGUCUCAACUCACCAUGGUCGACUCCAGGUUCGAACCUGUGCCGCGAGGUUCAUGAUGAAGUGAUAAAAGACAUGAAA